AAACUUUGACUAACUUAUUCACAUCAGUGGUUAGAAGUUAGAACUACCUGAAGUCAAAACAAAUUUUCACCCUUAUCGUUUCCUCCAUCUGUAAAACGCAUCACACGUUGUAUCAUUUUCACUCAAUCAAAAAACGCUCGCUUUGCUGUUCAAUCGGAACACUCGCCGUCCAAGCCCUUGGCUGUUCAAUCGAAUCCUCUCAAUCGUAUGCUAGGUUCUCUGAGCUUGUCCUCUGAAUCAAUAAAUAUGACGGAGCUUCUACAGUGGAAUGAACUCUAUGGUGAAGGUGGCUCAGGAGUUAAGAAAGCACUAAGCUAUUUUAUAUAGAGGCUCAAGAAUAGAAUUGAAACGAAAUCAUCUUAUCUGCAGGUGCUAGAAGUACAAGUAAGUCAAUCUUAUCUGCAGAAGUGAUAAACCAUUUAUAUUAACAUUUUGGGUAUAGUUUAUUACAUUGUGUUAUUAUUAGUUAGAUACUUAUUAGUUAGAUACUUAUUUAUUUUUCCUUAUUUUAUAUAGAUGAGAAAGU